AUUGAACGCUGGCGGCAGGCCUAACACAUGCAAGUCGAAUGGUAACAGGAAACAGCUUGCUGUUUCGCUGACGAGUGGCGGACGGGUGAGUAAUGUCUGGGAAACUGCCUGAUGGAGGGGGAUAACUACUGGAAACGGUAGCUAAUACCGCAUAACGUCGCAAGACCAAAGAGGGGGACCUUCUGGCCUCUUGCCAUCAGAUGUGCCCCGAUGGGAUUAGCUAGUAGGUGGGGUAACGGCUCACCCAGGCGACGAUCCCUAGCUGGUCUGAGAGGAUGACCAGCCACACUGGAACUGAGACACGGUCCAGACUCCUACGGGAGGCAGCAGUGGGGAAUAUUGCACAAUGGGCGCAAGCCUGAUGCAGCCAUGCCGCGUGGAUGAAGAAGGCCUUCGGGUUGUAAAGUACUUUCAGCGGGGAGGAAGGGAGUAAAGUUAAUACCUUGGCUCAUUGACGUUACCCGCAGAAGAAGCACCGGCUAACUCCGUG
rnacentral:rRNA from 1 species